UAGCUGCACAUCAGUGUCCUGCCCAU
rnacentral:piRNA from 1 species